GUAUCGAAAAAUAAUAUUUGACUGACCGUUCCUAGAGCAAGUGGCAAAGUGGUAGUUGGUACCUGAAAUCUAAAUUCGAAUCCUAGUUGAUUCACAUUUUCAGCUAAGUUUAUUUAUAAAUAAAAUAAACAAAGCGGGUAGUGUGCUACCUAUCUCUCUCAAAAAAAAAGAAAUAUAAUACUUGGCUACACAUAGUACUACACAUAUUAUGACAAAUUGCAAUACUAUAUAGACACAAAGAAGUUGCACUAUAACAGAAUUAGGUUAUAGGGACACAUGUUUGGGAUACUUUUAUGUAAGUGUCCCAUUUAUACCAAAUUAAACUUUUUAAAAUAUCUACUAAUGGCUAAGUAUAAAGCCCAAUCGAACUAAAAAUAAAAUGUUACUCUACUCAACCCACCCCACCUAGCCCAUUCGGCCCGAUUACAAACAGAAAAGAAAAGAAAACAAAAGAAAAAUUGAUUACUAUCUCCCUUCUUCCCUCACUCAAUCCAUUGAAAUUCUAGACGAAGAUCUCUUCCCUCUCGUCCUCCUUCGCUACCGCAGCCAACAAGGUAGAGUUUCGGCGGUUGCUAAAUGCUUAAAUAAGUGUUGAUAAAUUAGCAUCACUCUUUUUAGGUAAUAGCGACACUCUUUAACUAUCACUAUAUACCUGGCGACUCCACAUAUAACAACACUUUUUGAAAGUGUCGGUAAUUUAGCCAGCAUCACUUUUUUUGACCUGUACCGACAUUUAAAAAUGUCGCUAUAGACCAUUUUUGUUAUAGUGUUGUAAGAGUAUGUUUGGUUCAAAGUCGGAAUCAGAAUGAAAAUAAGCCGGAAACAGAAUCGGAAUGACUCAUUACCCGAUUCUGUUUGGUUCGCCACCUGAAUCGGAAUUGAAAUGAAUCAUUUUCAUUGUCAGUAUUUGGUUCAAAUAGAUAUCAGAAAUAUAAUCACAUUAAUAUGUGUUUGAGAUAUUUUAAAAAAAAAAGUUUAAAAUUCAAAUUGAAAAUAUAGAAGGAAGGAAAUAGGGAAAUGAAAGAUUCCAAAGAAAAAAAAAGGAGGAAAGUUUUCAAAAAUAAAACAAAAGAUAUAUAAUUAGUUGAUUGAGGCUUGUUUCCUCAAUAAAUUAAUUUUUUAAAUUAUUCCCAAAUGGGAAUCAUCUUUGAAUUCUAUAUAAAAUAAGA
rnacentral:lncRNA from 1 species